rfam:Amazona aestiva scaffold_2029, whole genome shotgun sequence.
AGAAACUUAGGAUAAUAUAAACCAAAGGCCUUCAAAGCCUCAAACAAGAGUUAAAACCUCUUAGUUUCUG